rnacentral:rRNA from 1 species
AUAUCAAUAAGCGCAGGAAAAGAAACCAACAGGGAUUACCUCAGUAACGGCGAGUGAAGCGGUAAUAGCUCAAAUUUGAAAUCUGGCCUCUUGGGGUCCGAGUUGUAAUUUGUAGAGGAUGUUUUGGGUACCGCCCCGGUCUAAAUUUCUUGGAACAGAAUGUCAAAGAGGGUGAGAAUCCCGUCUUGGACCGGCGGUAGGGCCUGUGUAAAACUCCUUCGACGAGUCGAGUUGUUUGGGAAUGCAGCUCAAAAUGGGUGGUAAAUUUCAUCUAAAGCUAAAUAUUGGCCAGAGACCGAUAGCGCACAAGUAGAGUGAUCGAAAGAUGAAAAGCACUUUGAAAAGAGAGUUAAACAGUAUGUGAAAUUGUUGAAAGGGAAGCGCUUGCAACCAGACUUGAGCGCGGCGGUUCCCCCGGUCUUUUGGCCGGGCUACUCCGUCGUGUCCAGGCCAACAUCGGUUCUGAGGGUCGGUCAAAGGCCUUGGGAAUGUAUCUACCCACGGGUAGACUUAUAGACCAGGGUGUCAUGCGGCCUCUCGGGACCGAGGAACGCGCUUCGGCUCGGAUGUUGGCGUAAUGGUUGUCAGCGA